UGGGAUGACCAACACUGGUAGGUAGAGACAGACUGGGAUGACCAACACUGGUAGGCAGAGAGACUGGGAUGACCAACACUGGUAGGCAGAGAGACUGGGAUGACCAACACUGGUAGGUAGAGACAGACUGGGAUGACCAACACUGGUAGGCAGAGAGACUGGGAUGGCCAACACUGGUAGGUAGAGAGACUGGGAUGACCAACACUGGUAGGUAGAGACAGACUGGGAUGACCAACACUGGUAGGUAGAGACAGACUGGGAUGACCAACACUGGUAGGUAGAGACAGACUGGGAUGACCAACACUGGUAGGUAGAGACAGACUGGGAUGACCAACACUGGUAGGUAGAGACAGACUGGGAUGACCAACACUGGUAGGCAGAGAGACUGGGAUGGCCAACACUGGUAGGUAGAGAGACUGGGAUGACCAACACUGGUAGGUAGAGAGACUGGGAUGACCAACACUGGUAGGUAGAGACAGACUGGGAUGACCAACACUGGUAGGUAGAGACAGACUGGGAUGACCAACACUGGUAGGUAGAGACAGACUGGGAUGACCAACAAUGGUAGGUAGAGACAGACUGGGAUGACCAACACUGGUAGGCAGACAGACUGGGAUGACCAACACUGGUAGGUAGAGACAGACUGGAUGACCAACACUGGUAGCUUGGCAUGUAAAGGCGAGGAAGAUGCCAAUGCCACUACAGUAUAUCUCCAUGGAAGUAUGAACCCCCAUAGCUAGCUACAGUUGGGCUCAAUUCCAUUUCAAUUCCAGUCA
ensembl:lncRNA